UGCUUGCUUCGGCAGCACAAUACUAAAAUUGGAACAAUACAGAAAAGAUUUGCAUGGCCCCACGCAGGAGGCUGUGGAAUAUAUACAAAGACUACAAGUUGGA